AUCAAAAUGGAUUUGGAGAAAGGAAAAAGAAAAAGAAAAAGAAACACAAAACCUCACAUUGUAGAACUUUAUUACUGACUUUUGUAUUCAUUUUCAUUUGCUUCUUUUCAGCAUCUCUCAUCAACAUAUUAUUCUAUUUCUCUCUUCAAUCUUCUUCUGGGUACUCUUGAUUUCUUUCCAAAAUUUAUCAGACGAAGGGAGAUGCUGCAUGCUGACAGGAACUUGGUUUUUAAUCUCUCCGAUCACUGAAACUUCACGCUGAAAGGGGCUAUGAUAAAGUUCUCUAUGGAGGAGGUGGAACUGUAUACCAACUGGGAUAAUGUGAUUUGUCCCAUUUGCUUGGACUUCCCUCACAACGGUGUUCUCCUCCAGUGCUCAUCUUUCGAGAAGGGUUGCAGGCCCUUUUUGUGUGACACGGAUCAUUUGCACUCCAACUGUCUAGAACGCUUCAAACAAGCACAUCGGAUGAUAGCUGGGUCACAAUUACUUUCAACAUCCAAUGACAGAGAAGAUAUGACAAAAUCGGAAGGCAAGAAUUGGGCUGCCUGCCCCUUGUGUAGGGGAGAAGUUACUGGAUGGGUUGUUGUUGAGAAGGCUCGCAUACAUCUCGAUGUCAAGGAACGCUGUUGUGAAGAGGAUAAAUGUCGAUUUACGGGCACCUAUUUGGAACUUCAGAAACAUGCUAAACUUGACCACCCUCAUGCAUGUCCCUCAAAAAUAGAUCCUGCUCGACAGGUUGAUUGGGAAAAUUUUCAGCAGUCCUCUGAAAUAAUAGACGUCUUGAGUACUAUUCAUGCAGAAGUUCCCCGAGGGGUUGUUUUAGGUGAUUAUGUGAUUGAAUAUGGAAAUGAUAAUUCUGAAGAUGACUUUGAGGACUUCCCUUCAGCGGAAGGCAACUGGUGGACAUCAUGUAUCUUGUAUCAGGUAUUUAAUAACUUUAGGACGUCUAGAAACAGAAGAAGAUCUAGAGUAAGUAAUACAAGAAGAGGAAACCGCCAUUUGGGUUAUGAUGCUUCAAACUCUGAUGAGAGUUCUGUGACAUCUGUAGAAUAUGUAGAUUAUGGGGUUGACGAGACUGAUGAUGAGCUUGUAAGUGCUGCUGGCCUCUCAAGGAGAAGAGCUGAUAGUCGCAGUUCCCGAAGGCGUCGUUCCCGCUUCUAUGACAAUUAGGGUUAGUAAGGAUCCAUUGGAAAGACUGAAGUGUAUCUUCAUUUGCUCGAAAACUAGCAUCAUUCAAAGAAGGAAGUGUUCCCAAGUAUUCCUGGUGGAGUAGUGGCUAUGGAGUGAAGAGGGAAAGGAUAAAACUUGUUCAUGUAGUUGUGGUGCAAACGAUUGUAAGCUCGAUGCUUGCUCAUGAUAAACUGAAGGCUUCGUAGAUAGUCUUUUGGAUAAUUUAACUUCUGUUUUAGUGACCUUUUGAAUCAGUUUAUCAUCAUCUUUUGCAGACUGCCAAUUGCUUUAGUUCCUUCAGGAGUUUCUAAAAAACGGUUCUACAAAGGAAAGACCCGAAUGAAACAGAUACAAACAACCGCAAGAUGAAGAAGCCAACACAAUUAGGCUCCCAAAAGAAAGGGUCACUAUUAACAAGGAAAAUAUUGGUGGUCAUAAAUGACAUGGGGAGACCAAACAUGGAUUCUUGUAACUCUUCAUUCAUACAAACAUCAAUGGAAUAAAAGAAGUGCACUAUUGAUGAUGAUAAACCAAUGGAUUCUUUCUUAUCAAUUAUGCACAUGGAAUUAGACCAAAUAGUGUACAUUCAUCAACCAGUCCGAAGCUGAUUUAAGCUCCUGCACUACUUGUCGAUAUUCUUCCUGUUGCUACCACGAAAGGAACCUCAAAACUACCAAUCCAACAAUUGUGGCAACUACAGCUAACAUUGAUAAGUAAAUCAGAUACAAAGUAGUCAAAAGUUGUAUCCUUCAACACAUAUAUAGCUUUAGAGAUAUCUAGAAGA